AUCUAUAUAGUAUAAAAGCUUAUUU
rnacentral:tRNA from 1 species